GUAAAGAUGAAUCGGGUACGAGAUGCGAGACUCGAAAGAAUGAGAGGCGAUAUCGUAGGAUGAGAUUUCUAUUACCGCAGGAUGAUACCUCGAGCAGAUUUCAGAUCAAGAAGAGCACAACAUAUGACAAAGAUGGGAUUGAGCGGUCUGGCUCGACUUUCAUGUCUGCCCAUCCAUGAUCAGCAGGUGAUUGCCCCAGGAUAUGGAGGCGAGAAGAUCCAGAAGCUCUCAAAGUUAGGAGGAGAUUGAAUGUCGAGUUGAGAUAGAGAUUGUUAGGAUUUGAUAUCUCAAGAUUUGAUUCAUACUGAACUCACAGUAAGGUCCGCGACAACAAAUGGAGUCCAACGGGCCCAAGAUUAGCCCAAAC
rnacentral:lncRNA from 1 species